UUUUUUUUUUUUUGAGAUGGAGUUUUGCUCUUGUUUCCCAGGCUGGAGUACAAUGGUGCAAUCUCGGCUCAGUGCAACCUUCGUCUCCCGGGUUCAGGCGAUUCUGCUGCCUCAGCCUCCUGAGUAGCUGGGAUUACAGGCGUGCCACCACGCCCGGCUAAUUUUGUAUUUUUAGUAGAGACAGGGUUUCACCAUGUUGGCCAGGCUGGUCUUGAACUCCUGACCUCAGGUGAUCCGCCCACCCCAAAGUGCUGGGAUUACAGGUGUGAACCACCACACCCGGCCUACUUUGUUUUUUAAGAUAUUACCUCCCUUGCAAGUUGUCAAGAGAAUGAGAGAUGAAAGGGAAGUGCCUGCCACAGAGCUGGCCACAUAGUAGAUGCCCAAUAAACAGCAGCUCUCCUUAGGAGAUGCCUGGUUCGGUGUCUUCAGGUUGAAAGGACCGGAGUCUUCCUCGGGUUCCCUCAGGCACACUGGUAGCACAGCAGGCUCACAGGAAAUGCUCCCUGUCUGCACAGUCUGGCCUGGGAGACCGGAAUGUCGCUCAGUAGGCCACAGGCCUCCAUCUGGUUGUCCCUGCAGAAGUGUCCGCUGCUUCUCAGCACCCACAGUAGAUUUUUGUUGCUGUUUCUCUUUUCUUCUAGUGCCACUGUCUAAAUUUAGAUUCCCCUAAAGAAGAGCCUGAGACGAGAACUUGGUAGCUUAUUUUGGAGUUGAUUCCAGGAAGCACAGCGCGGGAGAGGGAAUGUGAGACAGGGGAGUGAGGAAAGGCACUGAGCGGGUCACCUCUGUGGGCAACUGGGCUCAGUCCCCCUCCGGGCCCGCUGAGGGGUCGUGCAGAGCACACCACAGCACUGCCCACCCAGCGAUGGCAAGCCGGGUACUGAGCCAGGCCCUGGAGGUUUUAAAUACCUGGCCCUUCUGGAUUCCCCUGCACAAAAGGCUGAACAAGUGUUCACUGCUCCAGAAAAAACCCCUCGGGCUGAGAAGCAGAGAGAUGGGGGUAGUGAAGUGAAGCUUUGUGUGUGCAGGGAACCACCGCCUACACCUGCAGUGGACAAAGAAGGCCCAAGGGGAUACAACGCAGGGGACCAACAGCUCCCGCAACCACCACGGCCUCUCUGCCGCCUUACUCCUGCGUACUCCUGCAUGCUUAAAGCUUCUACUGCCUCAGCUUCUACUUUUAGCUGUCAUCUCUGUGGAUCUCUGGGUUUCUGUGUCCCUGCUGCACAAAUCUCCGCGGAAGCCUUGCAUUUCAUGUGUCCACGAGAAACAGGUGAUCGGGCAGGACUGUUCAUGCUAACCCAGCUCACAGAGCACUG
rnacentral:lncRNA from 1 species